GUUGGUAUAAAAUAAUGGUUGAUCUCUGUAAAAGAUGCAAUUUUUUUUACAAUGGAUAUUGUAUUAUGUUUAUAGUCUCCAAAGAUAUUUACUAUUAAAUAAAUCACAAGUAACCAUUACAAAUACAGGGUGGACAUUAUUUAAUAAUAACACAAAAUAAUUAUGAUGGAAUAAUGUGUAUAUAGUAAAUGUAUAUGUAGAGAAUUAGGUUAGUAUCAUUUUUAUGACUAAUUUGUCUUUAGUGAAGAAUAAUGAAGUUAGUAGUAUGAGAAAUAAUAGGAAUUCUAGUUAAAUGAAAUGGUCCAACUAUGACUUGUUUUAAGUAGAUUUUUAGGACUCCUUCCCUUUUAAUAGUAUCUAUAUUAAUAAAUUUGAGCAGAAUGCGUCCACCUCAGCAUACCCUGCUCCUUUUGAUGACACGUGGCGAGCAACAGGCGCUUCUUUUGUUUUUCUACAUGAAGCUUUUCCGUAAAAGUUGAAGUCUGUGAUUUAUUGGGUCAUUUCUCAUAAAUUAUUGGGCUUUAAUGAUAUUAAAAACCCGUUUGAGAUUAGGGUUUGGAUCCACGCCGUCGAAUAUCGUCUUCUCCUAUUUCCUUCUCCUGUAACUCAUGUAACGUCUCCUGCUCUCCUGUAUCUAUGUGAGGCCAUUAACAUUCGCAUUCAAUCUUAGUUAACUCGACCCCCACUACAUCUCAUUACUUCACCAUCUCCGUCCUCUUCAACUUCUUCACAAUCUCCUUCCUAUAAGUAGACCACUCUGGCGGCAUGGUUUGGCCAGAUUCAUCUUUCUUCUCCCCUCAAUGUGAAAUCAAUUUCAUGACGAAUGAACCAAUUGCUCCUUAAAAACCUUCGUCGAUGCCACUACCUUAUCUUUCCAGCACCCUCCAGAGUUCGAGAGACUUGCAAUGCUUCAGAAAGUCACGUCGAAGCCGAUCAUUACACCUCUUACUUUUUCAUUGAAAACUUUUCUGCUUUCACUUUUGUUUUUUUUUUUUUUUGUUUUUUUGUUGUUGCAGACUGAGUGCUCCGAAGUACCAGAUGAUUGCAUUUGAGCCAGAUCUUAAUUGGUCUCCUUUGUUGAUUGAUUCCCAGAAAUUUUUAGGCCUCGCCACCGUAAAUUACUGAAUUCUAUGAUCACCGGAGGUGUGGUGUUUUUAGGAGACGAAUGUUAUUGCUUCGAACCUUGAAAAGUGAAUCACUUUCUCUCUCAGGUUAGUGGACUACGAGAAUAAGUUUCCUAUGGACUGUCCUUAAUGAUACUCUGAGAGUGGAUGUGACAAAUGCGACCAUGGAGUGUUGGAAAAAAGUACAGGAGGGAAGUAAAGAAGGCAACACUGCAGCUGGUGGACAUAGACUGCAGUUACUUUACUGUUGACUUCUUCAUGAAGCUUCUCCAGCUCUGAGAAUGUCGACUGUUUUUCUUGGUUUUUGUCGAUGGUACCGACACCAAAGAGACCUUUAGGUUUUGGAAUUUUUGUAGAUGAUCUACCCUUGAAGACAUCAUUCUCAAAACCUUUCUUUUUAAUUCAAACUGAAAUGAACUAAAAAGGUAAUCUACUC